GAUGAACGCUAGCGAUAGGCUUAACACAUGCAAGUCGAGGGGCAGCAUGGUCUUAGUUUGCUAAGACUGAUGGCGACCGGCGCACGGGUGCGUAACGCGUAUGCAACUUGCCUCACAGAGGGGGAUAACCCGUCGAAAGACGGACUAAUACCGCGUACACUUGGGAUAGGGCAUCCUGACCCAAGGAAAUGAAAUUCGCUGUGAGAUAGGCAUGCGUCCCAUUAGCUAGUUGGUGAGGUAACGGCUCACCAAGGCGACGAUGGGUAGGGGAACUGAGAGGUUGAACCCCCACACUGGUACUGAGACACGGACCAGACUCCUACGGGAGGCAGCAGUGAGGAAUAUUGGUCAAUGGGCGAGAGCCUGAACCAGCCAAGUCGCGUGAAGGAUGACUGUCUUAUGGAUUGUAAACUUCUUUUAUACGGGAAUAAUAAGAGCCACGUGUGGCUCCCUGCAUGUACCGUAUGAAUAAGCAUCGGCUAACUCCGUG
rnacentral:rRNA from 1 species